rnacentral:rRNA from 1 species
UACGGGGGGAGCAAGCGUUGUUCGGAAUUACUGGGCGUAAAGCGUGCGCAGGCGGUUUCUUAAGUCAGAUGUGAAAGCCCCGGGCUUAACCUGGGAACUGCGUUUGAAACUGGGAGACUUGAGUGUGGCAGAGGGGGGUGGAAUUCCACGUGUAGCAGUGAAAUGCGUAGAUAUGUGGAGGAACACCAAUGGCGAAGGCAGCCCCCUGGGUCAACACUGACGCUCAUGCACGAAAGCGUGGGGAGCAAACAGG